rnacentral:rRNA from 1 species
UACGAAGGGGGCUAGCGUUGCUCGGAAUCACUGGGCGUAAAGGGUGCGUAGGCGGGUCUUUAAGUCAGGGGUGAAAUCCUGGAGCUCAACUCCAGAACUGCCUUUGAUACUGAGGAUCUUGAGUUCGGGAGAGGUGAGUGGAACUGCGAGUGUAGAGGUGAAAUUCGUAGAUAUUCGCAAGAACACCAGUGGCGAAGGCGGCUCUCUGGACCGUAACUGACGCUGAGGCGCGAAAGCGUGGGGAGCAAACAGG